rnacentral:rRNA from 1 species
GGGCCAGACUCCUACGGGAGGCAGCAGUGGGGAAUAUUGGGCAAUGGGGGAAACCCUGACCCAGCGACGCCGCGUGAGGGAAGAAGGUUUUCGGAUUGUAAACCUCUGUCCUUGGUGACGAUAAUGACGGUAGCCAAGGAGGAAGCCACGGCUAACUACGUGCCAGCAGCCGCGGUAAUACGUAGGUGGCGAGCGUUGUCCGGAAUUACUGGGCGUAAAGGGUGCGUAGAUGGCAUAGUAAGUCUUUUGUAAAAAUGCUGGGCUCAACCCAGGAGGGCAAAAGAUACUGCAAAGCUAGAGUAUGACAGAGGCAAGUGGAACUACAUGUGUAGCGGUAAAAUGCGUAAAUAUAUGUAAGAACACCAGUGGCGAAGGCGGCUUGCUGGGUCGAUACUGGCAUUGAGGCACGAAAGCGUGGGGAGCAAACAGGAUUAGAUACCCUGGUAU